GACGAACGCUGGCGGCGUGCUUAACACAUGCAAGUCGAACGGAAAGGCCCUGCUUUUGUGGGGUGCUCGAGUGGCGAACGGGUGAGUAACACGUGAGUAACCUGCCCUUGCCUUUGGGAUAACUUCAGGAAACUGGUGCUAAUACCGGAUAGGAGCUCCUGCUGAAUGGUGGGGGUUGGAUAGUUUCGGCGGUUGGGGAUGGACUCGCGGCUUAUCAGCCUGUUGGUGGGGUAGUGGCUUACCAAGGCUUUGACAGGUAGCCGGCCUGAGAGGGUGACCGGCGACACAGGGAGUGAGAGACAGCGCAGAGUCCUACGGGAGGCAGCGGUGGGGAAUAUUGCACGAUAGGCGGAAGCGUGAUGCAGCAACGUAGCGUGCGGGAUAACGGCCUUCGGGUUGUAAAACGCUUUCGCCUGUGAGGAAGCGAGAGUGACGGUAACGGGUAAAGAAGCACCGGCUAACUACGUG
rnacentral:rRNA from 1 species